ACACCGGCAGCCCAAGUGGUGGCCAUUUUUAUUGGGCCUAAAGCGUUCGUAGCCGGCCUGAUAAGUCCCUGGUGAAAUCCCGCAGCUUAACUGUGGGAAUUGCUGGAGAUACUAUCAGGCUUGAGGUCGGGAGAGGUUAGAGGUACUCCCAGGGUAGGGGUGAAAUCCUAUAAUCCUGGGAGGACCACCUGUGGCGAAGGCGUCUAACUGGAACGAACCUGACGGUGAGUAACGAAAGCCAGGGGCGCGAACCGGAUUAGAUACCCGGGUAGUCCUGGCCGUAAACGAUGUGGACUUGGUGUUGGGAUGGCCUCGAGCUGCCCCAGUGCCGAAGGGAAGCUGUUAAGUCCACCGCCUGGGGAGUACGGCCGCAAGGCUAAA
rnacentral:rRNA from 1 species